UACAGGGGGUGCAAACGUUGCUCGGAAUUAUUGGGCGUAAAGCGCGCGUAGGCGGCUACCUAAGUCGGAUGUGAAAGCCCCUGGCUUAACUGGGGAAGUGCACCCGAAACUGAGUAGCUAGAGUGCGAAAGAGGGUCGCGGAAUUCCCGGUGUAGAGGUGAAAUUCGUAGAUAUCGGGAGGAACACCGGUGGCGAAGGCGGCGACCUGGGUCGACACUGACGCUGAGGCGCGAAAGCGUGGGGAGCAAACAGGG
rnacentral:rRNA from 1 species